rnacentral:rRNA from 1 species
CUACGGGUGGCUCCAGUGGGGAAUAUUGGGCAAUGGGCGAAAGCCUGACCCAGCAACGCCGCGUGAUUGAAGAAGGCUUUCGGGUUGUAAAAAUCUGUCCUUGGGGACGAAGAAGUGACGGUACCCAAGGAGGAAGCCCCGGCUAACUACGUGCCAGCAGCCGCGGUAAUACGUAGGGGGCGAGCGUUGUCCGGAAUUACUGGGCGUAAAGGGUGCGCAGGCGGCGCUUUAAGUCAGAUGUGAAAUACCCAGGCUUAACCUGGGGGGUGCAUUUGAAACUGGAGCGCUUGAGUGCAGGAGAGGAAAGUGGAAUUCCUAGUGUAGCGGUGAAAUGCGUAGAUAUUAGGAGGAACACCAGUGGCGAAGGCGACUUUCUGGACUGUAACUGACGCUGAGGCACGAAAGCGUGGGGAGCAAACAGGAUUAGAUACCCCAGUAGUC